ACUCCUACGGGAGGCAGCAGUGGGGAAUUUUGCGCAAUGGGAGAAAGCCUGACGGAGAACGCCGCGUGAGUGAUGAAGGUCUUCGGGUUGUAAAGGUCUGUCAGGAGGGAAGAAAUGCGUGCUGGCUAAUAUCCAGUACGCUUGACGGUACCUCCGAGGAAGCCCCGGCUAACUCCGUGCCAGCAGCCGCGGUAAUA
rnacentral:rRNA from 1 species